GUUUGAUCCUGGCUCAGAUUGAGCGCUGGCGGCAGGCCUAACACAUGCAAGUCGAGCGGUAGAGAGAAGCUUGCUUCUCUUGAGAGCGGCGGACGGGUGAGUAAUGCCUAGGAAUCUGCCUGGUAGUGGGGGAUAACGUUCGGAAACGGACGCUAAUACCGCAUACGUCCUACGGGAGAAAGCAGGGGACCUUCGGGCCUUGCGCUAUCAGAUGAGCCUAGGUCGGAUUAGCUAGUUGGUGAGGUAAUGGCUCACCAAGGCUACGACCCGUAACUGGUCUGAGAGGAUGAUCAGUCACACUGGAACUGAGACACGGUCCAGACUCCUACGGGAGGCAGCAGUGGGGAAUAUUGGACAAUGGGCGAAAGCCUGAUCCAGCCAUGCUGCGUGUGUGAAGAAGGUCUUCGGAUUGUAAAGCACUUUAAGUUGGGAGGAAGGGUUGUAGAUUAAUACUCUGCAAUUUUGACGUUACCGACAGAAUAAGCACCGGCUAACUCUGUGCCAGCAGCCGCGGUAAUACAGAGGGUGCAAGCGUUAAUCGGAAUUACUGGGCGUAAAGCGCGCGUAGGUGGUUUGUUAAGUUGGAUGUGAAAUCCCGGGGCUCAACCUGGGAACUGCAUUCAAAUCUGACUGACUAGAGUAUGGUAGAGGGGGGUGAAUUUUCCUGUGAGGUGGGGAGCUGCAAAAAUCUAAGAGUGAACACCGGUGGUGAAAUGCUAUCACGUGGUGUAAACUAGAGGGUGAUGUGCUGAUGUGUGCGCACGAAAUAGUAUCUCAUAGCUGGGAUACACACCAGAGUAGAUGUCCUCCAGCGGUGGGAUCUUCAUGUUUCUAUGCUCACUCACACAUAAUUAUACCGACUGUCGAUACGUACGCAGCUAGAUCUAUAUAGAUUGAUUGCGGGCGCGCGCGUGCAUCGACUAGUAUAAAUACGACGACGAGACUACCGACUGACUCCAAUGACUUCAGUCUAAUGUAGUCGUCGCGUAGAGAACAAUGAACGUGUCUGUCGCUCCACUCCAAGUAAUAGAAUAUAGUUCACCCUUCACAGGUGACCUGUUCAAUACAAACUCUACGGGACAUAGGAGAGCUGCUAACACGUAAG
rnacentral:rRNA from 1 species